GAUGAACGCUGGCGGCGUGCCUAAUACAUGCAAGUCGAGCGAACAGACGAGGAGCUUGCUCCUCUGACGUUAGCGGCGGACGGGUGAGUAACACGUGGAGAACCUACCUAUAAGACUGGGAUAACUUCGGGAAACCGGAGCUAAUACCGGAUAAUAUAUUGAACCGCAUGGUUCAAUAGUGAAAGACGGUUUUGCUGUCACUUAUAGAUGGAUCCGCGCCGCAUUAGCUAGUUGGUAAGGUAACGGAUUACCAAGGCAACGAUGCGUAGCCGACCUGAGAGGGUGAUCGGCCACACUGGAACUGAGACACGGUCCAGACUCCUACGGGAGGCAGCAGUAGGGAAUCUUCCGCAAUGGGCGAAAGCCUGACGGAGCAACGCCGCGUGAGUGAUGAAGUUUUUCGGAUCGUAAAACUCUGUUAUUAGGGAAGAACAAAUGUGUAAGUAACUAUGCACGUCUUGACGGUACCUAAUCAGAAAGCCACGGCUAACUACGUG
rnacentral:rRNA from 1 species